GACGAACGCUGGCGGCGUGCUUAACACAUGCAAGUCGAACGCUGAAGCUCAGCUUUUGUUGGGUGGAUGGGUGGCGAACGGAUGAGUAACACGUGAGUAACCUGCCUCCUUCUUUGGGAUAACGCCCGGAAACGGGUGCUAAUACUGGAUAUUCACUGGUCUUCGCAUGGGGGCUGGUGGAAAGGGUUUUUCUGGUGGGGGAUGGGCUCGCGGCCUAUCAGCUUGUUGGUGGGGUGAUGGCCUACCAAGGCUUUGACGGGUAGCCGGCCUGAGAGGUUGACCGGUAACAUUGGGACUGAGAUACGGCCCAGGCUACUACGGGAGGGAGAAGUGGGGAAUAUUGCACAAUGGGCGCAAGCCUGAUGCAGCGUCGCCGCGUGAGGGAUGGGGGUCGUCGAGUUGUGAAACUCUUUCGCUCAUGGUGAAGCCGAAACAAUGGUUGUGGUGAGGGUAGUGGGUAAAGAAGCGCCGGCUAACUACGUG
rnacentral:rRNA from 1 species